rnacentral:rRNA from 1 species
GACGAACGCUGGCGGCGUGCUUAACACAUGCAAGUCGAACGAAGUGGCGAACGGGUGAGUAACGCGUAAUCAACCUGCCCUUCAGUGGGGGACAACAGCUGGCAACGACUGCUAAUACCGCAUACUGAAGGUGGGGAUUGCGUCUGAUUAGCUAGUUGGAGGGGUAACGGCCCACCAAGGCGAUGAGCAGUAGCCGGUCUGAGAGGAUGAACAGCCACAUUGGAACUGAGACACGCCCCAGACUCCUACGGGAGGCAGCAGUGGGGAAUUUUGGACAAUGGGCGCAAGCCUGAUCCAGCCAUGCCGCGUGUCUGAAGAAGGCCUUCGGGUUGUAAAGGACUUUUGUCAGGGAAGCGGUACCUGAAGAAUAAGCACCGGCUAACUACGUGCCAGCCGCCGCGGUAAUUC